GACGAACGCUGGCGGCGUGCUUAACACAUGCAAGUCGAACGGUGAAGCGCCUUCCUUUUUGGUGGGUGUGGAUGAGUGGCGAACGGGUGAGUAACACGUGAGUAACCUGCCCCCUUCUUCUGGAUAACCGCAUGAAAGUGUGGCUAAUACGGGAUAUUCUGGGUCUGUCGCAUGAUGGGUCUGGGAAAGAUAUUGUUUCGGUGGGGGAUGGGCUCGCGGCCUAUCAGCUUGUUGGUGGGGUGAUGGCCUACCAAGGCGGUGACGGGUAGACGGCCUGGGAGGGUGGACGGUCACACUGGGGCUGAGACACGGCCCAGACUCCUACGGGAGGCAGCAGUGGGGAAUAUUGCACAAUGGGCGCAAGCCUGAUGCAGCGACGCCGCGUGAGGGAUGGAGGCCUUCGGGUUGUGAACCUCUUUCGCCAGUGAAGCAGGCCUGCCUCGUUUGUGGGUGGGUUGACGGUAGCUGGAUAAGAAGCGCCGGCUAACUACGUG
rnacentral:rRNA from 1 species